rnacentral:rRNA from 1 species
ACGGGUGAGUAACACGUAUCCAACCUGCCGUCUACUCUUGGACAGCCUUCUGAAAGGAAGAUUAAUACAAGAUGGCAUCAUGAGUUCACAUGUUCACAUGAUUAAAGGUAUUCCGGUAGACGAUGGGGAUGCGUUCCAUUAGAUAGUAGGCGGGGUAACGGCCCACCUAGUCUUCGAUGGAUAGGGGUUCUGAGAGGAAGGUCCCCCACAUUGGAACUGAGACACGGACCAA